rnacentral:rRNA from 1 species
UCCGGAGGGUGCAAUCGUUAAUCGGAAUUACUGGGCGUAAAGCGCACGCAGGUGGCUGAGUCAGUCGAUUGUGAAAGCCCUGGGCUUAACCUGGGAAUUGCAGUCGAUACUACUCGGCUAGAGUAUGGGAGAGGGCAGUGGAAUUCCCGGUGUAGCGGUGAAAUGCGUAGAUAUCGGGAGGAACAUCAGUGGCGAAGGCGGCUGCCUGGCCCAAUACUGACACUCAGGUGCGACAGCGUGGGGAGCAAACAGG